rnacentral:lncRNA from 1 species
AUUUUUAGUGGGUACUGCGGUCUCACCGAUUUACAUGCCACCUCACCUAACAGUUAUUGGUGACAUAUAAAUGGAUGAGUGUACAACUCUUGUACAAUGCUUCUCAAGCAAAUUGCAGUGGUACUUGGUCUCUAAGUGAUGAAGACCUCACCUAACAGUUAUUGGUCCCAUUACUUAGUUAAGUCAGACCCACCGUAUAACCGCAGAAAUAAAGUUGUCAUUGGGUCCUCACCUAACAGUUAUUGGUGCCCAACCCCACCUUUACCCCACAACAUCUCAUGUCUAAUAGAGAGGUCCAGUCCCCCGAUGCAACUUGCCCACUGUGUCCAGCCGAGACAAAUCAACACCGAAAAGACCUUAGCAGCUCUACUACGGUGGAA